GGUGAACGCUGGCGGCAUGCCUUACACAUGCAAGUCGAACGGUAACAGGUCUUCGGAUGCUGACGAGUGGCGAACGGGUGAGUAAUACAUCGGAACGUGCCUAGUAGUGGGGGAUAACUACUCGAAAGAGUGGCUAAUACCGCAUGAGAUCUACGGAUGAAAGCAGGGGAUCGCGAGACCUUGUGCUACUAGAGCGGCCGAUGGCAGAUUAGGUAGUUGGUGGGAUAAAAGCUUACCAAGCCGACGAUCUGUAGCUGGUCUGAGAGGACGAUCAGCCACACUGGGACUGAGACACGGCCCAGACUCCUACGGGAGGCAGCAGUGGGGAAUUUUGGACAAUGGGCGCAAGCCUGAUCCAGCAAUGCCGCGUGCAGGAUGAAGGCCUUCGGGUUGUAAACUGCUUUUGUACGGAACGAAAAGCCCUGGGUUAAUACCCUGGGGUCAUGACGGUACCGUAAGAAUAAGCACCGGCUAACUACGUGCCAGCCGCCGCCGUAAAAC
rnacentral:rRNA from 1 species